GUCCUCCUCAAACCCUAGCAGCCACAGCUCCAUCUCUUCCGUUUCUCUCAUCCUAGAGCAGAAGAAAUAUGGAAAAUCAGGGCCUUUUCAUUUGCUUCCACAGAUUUCUCGAGCUCCGGAUCGCUAGCCUCCGUAUGAAGGAAACGUUUAUCUUCUAAUUUUAGGGUUUUGUUUUGGGAGUUUGCAAACGCUUUCUGGGUCAGAAUUCAAAGAUUGUUGAGGAAUGGAUAUGGCUACGGCUUAGUUGUGAAUUAGUGGUGCAGCGGCAACUCCUAAGUUGCUAUUUUAGGUAAAA